UGGGGAAUUUUGGACAAUGGGCGAAAGCCUGAUCCAGCAAUGCCGCGUGUGUGAAGAAGGCCUUCGGGUUGUAAAGCACUUUUGUCCGGAAAGAAAUCCUUGGCUCUAAUACAGUCGGGGGAUGACGGUACCGGAAGAAUAAGCACCGGCUAACUACGUGCCAGCAGCCGCGGUAAUACGUAGGGUGCAAGCGUUAAUCGGAAUCACUGGGCGUAAAGCGUGCGCAGGCGGUUUGCUAAGACCGAUGUGAAAUCCCCGGGCUCAACCUGGGAACUGCAUUGGUGACUGGCAGGCUAGAGUAUGGCAGAGGGGGGUAGAAUUCCACGUGUAGCAGUGAAAUGCGUAGAGAUGUGGAGGAAUACCGAUGGCGAAGGCAGCCCCCUGGGCCAAAUACUGACGCUCAUGCACGAAAAGCGUGGGGGAGCAAACAGGAUUAGAUAACCCCUGGUAGUCCACGCCCUAAACGAUGUCAACUAGUUGUUGGGGAUUCAUUUCCUUAGUAACGUAGCUAACGCGUGAAGUUGACCGCCUGGGGAGUACGGUCGCAAGAUU
rnacentral:rRNA from 1 species